rnacentral:tRNA from 1 species
GCCGCGUUCGUCUAGUGGCCUAGGACGCCGCCCUCUCACGGCGGAAGCACGGGUUCGACUCCCGUACGCGGUA